GAUGAAGAACGUAGCGAAAUGCGAUAAGUAAUGUGAAUUGCAGAAUUCAGUGAAUCAUCGAAUCUUUGAACGCACAUUGCGCCUCCUGGUAUUCCGGGGGGCAUGCCUGUUCGAGCGUCAUUUCACCACUCAAGCCUCGCUUGGUAUUGGGCAACGCGGUCCGCCGCGUGCCUCAAAUCGACCGGCUGGGUCUUCUGUCCCCUAAGCGUUGUGGAAACUAUUCGCUAAAGGGUGUUCGGGAGGCUACGCCGUAAAACAACCCCAUUUCUAAGGUUGACCUCGGAUCAGGUAGGGAUACCCGCUGAACUUAAGCAUAUCAAUAAGCGGAGGA
rnacentral:misc_RNA from 1 species